UUAUGAAUUCUUUUUCAUGUAUAAGCUCUGAGACACCACUGGCCAGGCCCACUGGCUGGGCAGGGACAGCCAAGUGCUGCAGGGGCCACCCCGGCCGCAGGCUGCAGGCCCAUCACCCCACACACCGAUGCACACAGGACCCUGCUCGCCAUAAAAAUACGUGCGGUAAAAUAUUGGAUUCAUUCAAUUAUUUGAGACUAAUAUAGACUCCAAGAAACCUGAAAUUGAUCCAACUAAUCCAACCCAUAACAUCGGAACGACAGUAACUGGUUUUCAUUAUAAAUUACAUAGCCCACUAAAUUGAUGGGAAGGCUCUCCCCCAACACAAUACAUCAAAAGAGUUAAAAUUAAGCUUUGUAAUCAAAACUGUAAUUUACCCAAGACUUAGGAACAAAAAGACCACUCCCUCCUCCCCAUUGCUAUUGUUCUACAGGACUGGGUGUCGAGCAGUGCACUUUACACCUUUAGGCUUCCCAGAGGCAGAAGACAAAUUGCAAAUUUGGUGUUUCCAGCAUGGAGCCCUGCAGCAAUGUUCACCGAAGAAGGUAAUUUCAUUCCUAAAGGAUUCCAAUCUGCACUAAAGAGGCCAGGGAUAUCAACACCUGUGGGCAACUCUGAUAUGUGCUUGUGCCUGCCUUCAAGCUGCAACAAGAUUCCAAGGCGUAAUCUGGCAAAGUCAACUAUGGGAUCGAAGGAACCGAAGCCCGGGUAACAUGUAUCUGCCAUCCUUGUGAUGCCAGAAAGUUUCAGUAAAGACUCAGGCAGAACGUACUACAGUAGAUCUAAAGCCACGUGUUAUGCAUCUGUGAUUCUGAAGCUGGAACAAAACAUUCUCAAAUGCUGUCAACCAACACGCUGAUCCCUCCAAGUCCUCUCUUCAACGCUCCAGGAAAAAAAAAACUUUACGGGAAUCCUGCCCGCUCUCAUUUUUACAACAAAAGGCCUAAUAAAUUAGUUAUUGACUCCCAA